rnacentral:tRNA from 2 species
AUAAGAAUUACAAGACUCUAUCUUGCAUCAUUC